AUUGAACGCUGGCGGCAGGCUUAACACAUGCAAGUCGAGCGGGGGGAGGUAGCUUGCUACCGGACCUAGCGGCGGACGGGAGAGUAAUGCUUAGGAAUCUGCCUAUUAGUGGGGGACAACAUCUCGAAAGGGAUGCUAAUACCGCAUACGUCCUACGGGAGAAAGCAGGGGAUCUUCGGACCUUGCGCUAAUAGAUGAGCCUAAGUCGGAUUAGCUAGUUGGUGGGGUAAAGGCCUACCAAGGCGACGAUCUGUGGCGGGUCUGAGAGGAUGGUCCGCCACAAUGGGACUGGGACACGGCCCAGACUCCUACGGGAGGCAGCAGUGGGGAAUAUUGGACAAUGGGGGGAACCCUGAUCCAGCCAUGCCGCGUGUGUGAAGAAGGCCUUAUGGCUGUAAAGCACUUUAAGCGAGGAGGAGGCUACUUUAGUUAAUACCUAGAGAUAGUGGACGUUACUCGCAGAAUAAGCACCGGCUAACUCUGUGCCAGCCGCCGCGGUAA
rnacentral:rRNA from 1 species